CGCAAUGCGGAUGUGGCGUCGGCGCCAUACGUGCAAAGAGCCCCUUACCAGCAAGGAUGGAUGUGACAACUAAGGCAGGAACACGGCGUGUGCACCCACGAUGAACCGCGCCAGUUUGUGCUGAAACCAAUAUGGAUAUGUGUGUGCUUGUAUGUCGGCACGGACUGUAGGACUACGUCCCAGCUCAUGACGGCUCCUCAGUCUAUGGCUUACAUCGGGGCUUUUCAAAAUGUGGGGCAUGCCCUCAAUGCCAGAGCUCCUCCAAAGGCCAGGAAAGGGGACCUACAGGUUUGCUAUGUGAGGAAAAAAAAAAAAAAAAAGUAAGUGUAAACAUUUAGCCAACUUCCUCAAACCAAUGAGUAAAGAGGUAGAGCUUGGGCCAAGCAU